UUUACUUAGGGUUUUCUACGGUUCUACGCUUCUACCUGAGUACCAGCCUCCAUCUUUCAUUUCAUCCAAUAUUCCAAUUCAUUCUAGGGUCUCUACUCUUCUCUAGGUUUCUCCGUUCUCUUCUGUUUUCUCAUCACUCUUUCGUUCUCUGUUCUCAUCUCUCCUCAAAAUCUCAUCCUCCCUGAUUCUCUCGGUCUUUUCCGAAUCUCCGGUACCAGACGCUGUUACUCAACUAUGAGCAAUAUCGGCAAUUCGUCAGUCCCUAUGGAUGAUAUGAAAGUGAGGUUAGAAUUGGCAAUGCAACAACUAAAUCAACCAAGGUCGGUGACAAGAGGAAGUGAGAAUACUGGAACCAUUUUUGGGAAUUUAGAGAUCUGGUAACCAAAAAAAAUUGUUCAAGUCAAAUGCAAAUACUGUGAGAGAAUGCUAACAGGUAAUACUAAUAAUGGAACUUCUUCAUUAAAGAAGCACCUUGGUGCAUGUUCAAAAUACCCUCCAAAUGUAGACAAAAAGAAAAAACUCAUUUAUGUUUACAAGUCUCCUGAAUCUGAUGCUACUAUAGUCUCUAAUUGGAAAUUUGAUGAAACUGCUUGUAGACUUGGUUUGGCAAGAAUGGUUAUUGUUGAUGAACAACCAUUUUCUAUA